rnacentral:rRNA from 1 species
UACGUAGGGGGCUAGCGUUGUCCGGAAUCACUGGGCGUAAAGGGCGCGUAGGCGGGCCUCCAAGUCCGGGGUGAAAUCCUCCAGCCUAACUGGAGAAGAGCCUCGGAGACUGGGGGCCUCGAGGGAGGUAGGGGCGUGCGGAACUAUGGGUGGAGCGGUGAAAUGCAUUGAUAUCCAUAGGAACUCCGGUGGCGAAGGCGGCACGCUGGACCUCUUCUGACGCUGAGGCGCGAAAGCCAGGGGAGCAAACGGG